UAGGGAAUCUUCGGCAAUGGACGAAAGUCCGACCGAGCAACGCCGCGUGAGUGAAGAAGGUUUUCGGAUCGUAAAACUCUGUUGGUAGAGAAGAACGUUGGUGAGAGUGGAAAGCUCAUCAAGUGACGGUAACUACCCAGAAAGGGACGGCUAACUACGUGCCAG
rnacentral:rRNA from 1 species